ACGCCCAGAUCCUUAAUAGUUUCGGCUCAAUGUUAAAAAAAUUUUUCCCCCGUCUAGAAUCUAAUGUGGAGUUGGAUUAUUCCUGACGUUUGGGCAAACAAUAUGAAUCUCUCAAUUCUGCUGCUUUGUCUGUUCUCGCAGAUCGUCGAUGGUGUUUAUAAAGAAGUGAAGGAGGGAGAAUCUAUCAUUCUACCCACCGACGUUACUAAGUCAAUAAAAUAUCACAUAAUUUGGAAGUUUGAAUCGAUACACAUUGCGGACAUUUAUCCUAGCAUGAAUGAUUUAGGCCUAACUAAUUAUGUGAAAGCUGAAAUUUUCGGAGGCAGACUACAGGUGGACUUCACAACUGGAUCUCUAACCAUCAGAAACGCAACGAGUGAAGACUCAGGACUUUAUUAUCUAAAUAUUGUCUAUCCCAGCAGAAUAACAACGUCAAAGACAUUUAAUGUCACUGUCAGUUCCUCAUUCAUACCUUUAGUAAGAGAGUCCAGAAAUUGCUCUCCAUCAUCAGAAAGAUCAUCAGUGACAUACUUUUUAUUUUUCUGUUUUUUAUUUUUUCCCAAUUGAGGACAUGCAACAACAUGCAGAAUGAUGGAAGAGGAUCAUAAUAACAUAACUGAACAUAACUUCCAGCAACGCCAAACUUGUCUUGUCUGAACUUGUGUGUAUUCUCUUCGUUGUGAUCAAAUAUUUGGUAAUCAGUAUUUCCCUUCUGUCUAGUGAAUACAGAGUAAUCAUUCUCAUUCAUCACUGUUGCUGCUCUUCUGUGGAGUGGUGAGGAAACACAAAGUAACCAUCACCAUGAUGUUUAGGCCUACAGCUACAGUGAUUGUGACUGUCGUUGACUCUAUUAUUAGUUAUGAUUAUAUAGCCAGUAGUUUCUAAUAACUAAUAGUUGUUGUUUUUUUCAUUCAUUUUUAAUGAUUAAAUCAUAUAAUCAUAAUUUUUAUCAUUUAUAUCAUUUUCAUUAUGUAAUCAUUACAUAAUUAUUUUUACGGUUUUAUACAUUUCUUAAUAUUUUUCCUGCUUAUGCAUUUUCAUUGUUGUUUAAACUUAUGAUUGUGGGGUUUCACAUACAUUUUUAUACGCUGAUUACAUUGAAAUAAUGUUAGAAAGUGAUGUUGCUUUAACAUCACUCUUGCACCCUCAGUUAAUAUUGAAAUAAUGUUCAGAUUUCAACCACAAAUCAAUGGUGUUAAUAUUGCUUCAACAUUACAAAGUGAUGUUGUUUCAACGUCACUUUUGCACCCACAUUCGAAACAUUAUUAAUAUUGAAGACAAAAACAUGCUCUUAACAUUGAAUCAAUAUUCAACCAACUAUAUUAAUAAAAAAUUUAAAACACUGUUUCAAUCACAUUCUUCUUUAUUUUCCAGUCUUUGUUCUUUUAAUUCAUUCAACUCAAAAGCACUCAAUUCCAUGUAAAAAACAAAAAACAAAAGAAAAAACCUUAAUACAGACUCAAAAGUAAACCAAUAAACAAAUAAACCAAUGAACAAAAAAAGCUAAUUAAUUUGUAUCUGGAGGUACAGACGGAACAGUUUCACUGGUUUGAAGUGCAGUUCCGCCCACACGGUACGGUGCAUAUCGGAGCCAUUUCUGGACUGCCUGACUAUAUUCAUACUGGGAAACUUUUCCCAUACCCAUCUGCAAAGUCAUAGCAUCUAACAAAAGAAAAACAACAAGAUAUGAAAUGUAUGCAAUUUAUUACAUUAAUGGAGGAACUGGAACAGGGAAAUAUUGGAUGAAGUAAGGUCAAUUUCUGGGAACACAAAAGGCAGAACAACAAAUAAAAUCAUUGAUAGUAAUAACUCACCAAAUAUACACAUAUUCAAGAACGUAUCCUUGAAUGCCCUCUUUUGCCUUGACUGCUUUUUAACCAUCUUCCCAGCCCAAUUUAGUGAUGAUGCCAGCUCAUUGGUCAGUGCACAAGCAUGCAACAGACUUACUUCCAAUGAGGUUCCUCCAAUUAUGCUGAAGUGUUUUACCUGCCAUACAAAAUGUGAACACAAAGCAGAGAGAACAUGUAAAAUGUAAAAAAA